rnacentral:rRNA from 1 species
UAAUACUAGCGAUCCAAGUCGCAGCCAUUUUUAUUGGGUCUAAAACAUCCGUAGCUUGCUUGAAAAGUUUCUUGUGAAAUCUUAUCUCUUAAAGAUAGGGCGUGCAAGAAGUACUGUCAAGCUAGAGACUGGAAGACGUAGGAAGUACGAUCAAAGUAGUGGUAAAAUAUAUUAAUCUUGGUCGGACUCACAAUAGCGAAGGCAUCCUACGAGGACAGUUCUGACAGUAAGGGAUGAAGGCUAGGGGAGCAAAACGGAUUAGAUACCCGUGUAGUCCUAGCAGUAAACACUGCACACUAAACAUUAGUACCUCCUCGAGAGGCAUUAGUGCUGUAGGGAAGCCGGAGAGUGUGCUACCUGGGAAGUAUAGUCGCAAGGCCG